GUAUUCAGAAUUCUGACUAUUUUCUUGAUAUUUUUUUACAGGAUUUUUGAGUCUUUAAAUCCUUUUAUUAUCAGUGAAGCUGAAGCCCCACUUGAUGUCUGUGUGCCAGGACCUCUCAUAUAUUACUAGCUCUUUGUGAGAAGUACUCCACAGUGCAAUAUAGAGGCAGGAAAAUUUAAACGAGGAAAACUUCCGAAGUAAAAACUUUAACUUCAGACUUUAUCCAGAAUUCUGAGUAAAGCAUGUUCACAGACAUCAAGAGCAUAGCUUUUGGCAGAAUACUCCAACGGAGCCAAAUGUGAAAGCUCAAACACUGCCGUAGAUCCAGUUUUCCUCAUUGUUUGUCCAGGAGCUAGAUGUGGAAGCCUGCCUUGCUGUGGAAGUUUAUGGUAAGCAGCUGGUGUAGCAGAGCAUCCUGCCUGUAAACACUGACUUCAGUAUGGUUCCUCUGGUUGACAUCAGCGUUCAGUGCUGCUGCAGGAGGACCAGCUGGAUUCACUGCUGGGUGCUGGUAAGCUGCAAGGAAAGCCUUUGCACCUGACAGUGGGAAGGGGACAAAAGGGGGUUUCAGGGGCAAAGUGCUUGCGUGAUGGGUGUGAGCAAAACUGGGAGCUGGCUCUCCUCAGGCUGAGUGCAGUGAAUCAAUGCAGAGGAAGAUCACCUACACCUGAGAUUAGAUGUGAGGAGGAACCUGAUAUUGUGCAGAAUCUUAUACUCCAUAACGACUCUAUUGGAUGUGUUGCAAAUUAGGGGGCUAGUUCAGAACUCAGAAUGGUCCACAAAGCCUUCAACUGUGGAAUCUAAUGCAAACUGACCCAAAUGACUGAUAGCUGCUUCAGGUGUGAACUUUGUGGCAGCAGUUUACCUUUUAAUAGUCAGAAAGUUGUCACGUUGACAGCAUAAACUGUGAACUAUGCAAAUAGGGUGGGAAAAGAGAGACCAUUCCUCUUGACUGGAGGAGAUCCCUCCAAAAGUGAGACUGCAGGGAGCAGUGAGAGGGGGAGG